rnacentral:rRNA from 1 species
GCGGCGAUAGCGCGGUGGUCCCACCUGACCCCAUGCCGAACUCAGAAGUGAAACGCCGUAGCGCCGAUGGUAGUGUGGGGUCUCCCCAUGUGAGAGUAGGGAACUGCCAGGU